UCCUCCUUUACAGCUUUAAUUGUCUGGAGCCCGGUGUUGUUGUGGCCAAGGAGCUUCCACUCCGAUGGAACCUGGUUUCAGCUGCUGUGCAAUGUUGACGUCCUUCCUCCCAGAGACUUAUCCUCUUCUAAACGACCAGACUGGAGACGAAGACCUGAACACGAAUCCUCUAACCUGAGAACAUCAAGAGAGAGAGCUCCUCCUUCAACUCCGUCACCAGGCUGAACAGACCCUCAUUGACCCCUGACCUCUGACCUGUGAUGUCAUCCCCAGGGUCACCCUCAUUCCAGUCAGCGCUGCUCACACACAGCUCUAGAGGAGAGCUACUGUCCCC